CUUCGGGGCGAUGAGGUCGGCCUCGGCAAGGAUGAUGGCCGUGGAGGAUCUGGUAGUGGCAUUGUUAGUGGGAACAAUGGUUGUGGAGGAUCCGAUGGCAGCAUUGAUAGUGGGAAUGAUGGCUAUAAAGGGUCUAAUUGUGGAAUUAGAAGUUGGGAUGAUGGCCAUGGAGAAUCCGACGAUGGCAUCGAGGGUAGAGGCCUUGUGGCUGGGG
rnacentral:lncRNA from 1 species